GUCCAGCGAGGCUGCAGCGGUGUGCAGAGAGCAGGUUCCGUCCGGAUCUCGGCUGAUCCGGUAGUGCUCGCUCCUCUUGGAGAUCUGCUUGCCAUCUUUAAACCAGUAGACCUGAGGCACAAAGAUGAACCACUCCUCCUUCCCACCAUCUUCAUCAAUCUCUCAUCGCUACAGCCCUGCGGAGGCGCUGGGGAACAUCUGCAGAGCAGCCCAGCCCGAUGACACAUCACACAGAUAAUGACAGGCCUCAGGGCACAGCUGCAGAGUUUAUCCUCCACGACUCACUCUGCCGCUCGCAGCGACAGCAGCGUCCCGUCCUGAUCUGCUGAGCUACAAUCCUCUAACGUGACUUCGGGUGGGGGUGAUUCGACGGUAUAUAAAGAAAAGCCAGUGAUCACAAGAAAGGAAUGACUCCAGAGAGGAAUCGGUGGACAAAACAUAAAGGUGUGUGGAUCCAGGUAAAGAGCCACCGUACCUGUGUGACUGGCUCCUCCUCUGUGUCCUGUGUGUUUAAGACUGUGGCAGCGUUGUCAGCACCCAGCAGUCUGCGAGCCAUCUUCUCCUCAU